AACUCCUUUUUUCGAUUUUUGUUUGUUUGUUUGUUUGUGUUUAUUUGUGUGUGUGUGUGUGUGUGUGUCUAGUACUGAUCAUGACUCGGCGAUAGCUUUGCUCCCAUGUCGGUUGUGAGAGAUUGGGAAUGAGAAUGGGUUUCUUGCUGAUAAACUAGAGAAAUAAAGUGCGAGAAAACCGGGGAAAAAGUCGACUCUUUGUUUCUUGUUAUUUUCUCGGAUUUUAGCCAUGGAGGUCACAGUUUUUUAGAUUACAGAAGAAGAUAGAGAUCGAAUUCAUGGUUGCCUAUUCUGAUUUUUUUGAUUUUUGGGUUUUAUUCUUUGAUAGAACUCCAAGGUGGGUCUUGCAAAUUCAUGGCGGUUUCUAGCUAAAGUCCCAUUUCUUUUCUGAGAAGACUGAUGUUGAGGAAGAGAUCAAGAGCAACAAGUAAGCAAGCUCUAAUGGCGGAUCAUGGUUAUUCCCCAUCACCGAAGGAGCCUUUUCUUUUGUUUCUUGAAUUUUUUUCCUUAGGCAUUGGAAAGGUAGGCCUCUUCUAGAUUCCUCAUCUCAUGCUCAUGUCACAAAAAAGUUAUCAUAUUCCCUUCAAAUGCUUCUUGACUUGAUGCCUUUUUGUUCUUAAAAACCUCCACUUCUCUGCA